GUACACGCUGUGACUAGCAUAUCAAUAAGCGGAGGAAAAGAGACUAACAAGGAUUCCCCUAGUAACGGCGAGUGAAGCGGGAAGAGCUCAAAUUUGAAAUCUUAAAGGGUUUCCCUUUACGAAUUGUAGUUUAAAGAAGUGUUUUCUGUUGAGGUUUUGGUAAAAGUUCUUUGGAAUAGGACAUCAUAGAGGGUGAGAAUCCCGUAUUUGACCUUUGCUUUCAACUUUGUGAUACACUUUCAAAGAGUCGGAUUGUUUGGGAAUGCAGUCCAAAAUGGGUGGUAAAUUUCAUCUAAAGCUAAAUAUUGGCGAGAGACCGAUAGCGAACAAGUACCGUGAGGGAAAGAUGAAAAGAACUUUGAAAAGAGAGGUUAAACAGUACGUGAAAUUGUCAAAAGGGAAGCGUUUGACACCAGUGUUGUUUUUCUGAAAAUCAAUUAAAGAACUGUUUAUGCUAAGUUGUUUAGACUUUAUCAGCUAACUGUUUAGUUUUGAGCUUUUCUUUAAUGCACUUUUCAGUUAACAAGUCAACAUCAAUUUCUUUUGCUGUAAAAAAGCUUGAGGAAGGUGGCUUGAGAUUCGUCUUAAGUGUUUAUAGCCUCUUGCCUAUGCAGUCGGAGAGAUUGAGGUCUGCAGCGUAGAUCCUUCGGGGCUAAAUGCAUUUGUGCUAAGUUAUAGCAUUUUAUAGACAACUUGUUGACUAUGAUUUGUCUUGUAGCUUACUCGCUUAUGUUAUUUUACCUACGCUUAGGAUGUUGAAGAUGUAGCACAUCAU
rnacentral:rRNA from 1 species